GGCCUUGGAAAAAAGCUCAAACGCAACCGAAUAUGGCAGGAGGUGUGGGAAGCGAUCCUCAUUCGAUUUCUGACCCUCGGACCCUUCGUUUCGGCCGGCUUCUUUUCUAAAAUUUCAAAAUUCUAAAUUAUCUUUCGAUAGUAAUUUAGCCAAAAUAAACGCUCGACGGGCUCAACAUGUGUGACGGAUGUGGAUCGUUGGAGCCGCGUGGAUGCCGCAGUCGGGAGCUGCGAUGCGGCAUCAUGUACACCACCUGUGACUGCGUGAAGCGGAAUGGCCUGCAGGACAAGUGUCCGCGCUCCGCCUGCCAGGGCAGACCGGCCUGUCUGUGCUUCCCCUUCCCCACCUGCGGUCCGGCGGCCUUCCCCCUGCGCUACGCCAACAUGAUGAUGGGCGUGAACAACAAGAGGAUGCGCUGUGCGGCCACUGGAGCUCCGAAUGGCGGUGCAUGCGGCGGACGAGCUGCCGGCGGAUGCUGUGGAUGCGGUCCCGGCUGUUGCUAAACUUCAUGCCUACAAGGCUAGUCCCUCAACAAGGAUAGCAUGUCUUGAGUCAGGAUUACUGCGAUGGCUGGCCUACACCAAAUCUCCCUCCAUAUCCCGUCGCGUGUGGUUUCUAAGUAGUUCCUGGCAAGUGUUGCGAUCGGAUCCUGACGGGCCACUCCCUUGGCGGGACAUGUUGUUUUGUGACGCGGUUUUGGUUAAUAAUAAAUUGAAGGUGGCUUAAAUCAAGAUAAAAAUCGGUGGGGAAACUCGGACCCUCGAACAGCAGAGAUCAUGUGAAGCAGAGAUCAUGUGAAGCAGCAUUGUCAAUCAUCAAUCUUGAUUUAAGUGCAAAAUCAUUUGUAGGUUUUAGACUCAUUUUUUGGCAAUAAAUUAUAAACUAAAUAAAUAAAUUAACAAUA